rnacentral:rRNA from 1 species
GAUGAACGCUGGCGGCGUGCCUAAUACAUGCAAGUCGAGCGAACGGACGAGAAGCUUGCUUUUCUGAUGUUAGCGGCGGACGGGUGAGUAACACGUGGAUAACCUACCUAUAAGACUGGGAUAACUUCGGGAAACCGGAGCUAAUAUCGGAUAAUAUUUUGAACCGCAUGGUUCAAAAGUGAAAGACAGUCUUGCUGUCACUUAUAGAUGGAUCCGCGCUGCAUUAGCUAGUUGGUAAGGUAACGGCUUACCAAGGCAACGAUGCAUAGCCGACCUGAGAGGGUGAUCGGCCACACUGGAACUGAGACACGGUCCAGACUCCUACGGGAGGCAGCAGUAGGGAAUCUUCCGCAAAGGGCGAAAGCCUGACGGAGCAACGCCGCGUGAGUGAUGAAGGUCUUCGGAUCGUAAAACUCUGUUAUUAGGGAAGAACAUAUGUGUAAGUAACUGUGCACAUCUUGACGGUACCUAAUCAGAAAGCCACGGCUAACUACGUG